CAGCAGCCGCGGUAAUACGUAGGGUGCGAGCGUUAAUCGGAAUUACUGGGCGUAAAGCGUGCGCAGGCGGUUGUGUAAGACAGGUGUGAAAUCCCCGGGCUUAACCUGGGAAUGGCGCUUGUGACUGCAAAGCUAGAGUGCGGCAGAGGGGGAUGGAAUUCCGCGUGUAGCAGUGAAAUGCGUAGAUAUGCGGAGGAACACCGAUGGCGAAGGCAAUCCCCUGGGCCUGCACUGACGCUCAUGCACGAAAGCGUGGGGAGCAAACAGGAUUAGAUACCCCCGUAGUCCCUGUCUCUUAUAC
rnacentral:rRNA from 1 species